UUGAAAAAUUAAUCCAUUUAUUUAUUUAUUAUUUAUUUUGUGGGAGUGGGAAUAUUAGAGCUUCACAGAAGAGGGGUUUUCAGAAGAAAGAAAAAAAAAGAGGGGUUUUUGAGUUGGGCUUUGGGAAAUAACAUUUCUAUGACCUGAAGAGGCAUUUUCAUUGAACAAAAACCAUGAGGUCCAGUAUGUUUAGUGUUUUAGCAGAAGAGCAGAGUUCACAAUUUUGUUGAUUUAAAUAUAGUAAAAGAAGGAAAACAGUAUGAAGUAACUUUGUGAUGUCAUCUCCUUACAUUGCAUGUGCUACCUUUCAGUCAGUAAAGGACUAAAUAUACAACAAUGGUUUUUGUAACUAACCAAAAUGUGUAGUAGGUUAUGCCAUCUAGGUUUGCUUAGGACAAAUUGAGGGCUUUAUGAUUAAAUGAGUUUAAAAAGCAAUGCAUGCCAUAUUACAUUUUCGAAUAUUUAUUCUUAGCAUAUUUCAGUCAGAAGUUAUAAAGAAAUCUGUUUAGCUUUUUUUUUUUUUUAAGUUUAUAGUCCCAAACAUAUUUGAUAGAUUUGAUAGAUCUUUUUCAUGGAAUGCCAGUAACAUCUGAAGGAACAUGGUGUUAUAUUCGUUUUUGAGACACGUUUCUAGAAUGUGUAUAUUUUUAUCUCUAAUUGUUUAUUUUCUGAGCUAUUUUUUCUGCGAGGGCAUACCAAGUUUCCCUACUCUUCUUUCUUUCUUUUUUUUAACUGAAUGAAUCAGAAAAAGUGAGAUCCAAAAUUCUCUGAAGCACUAAUCUAUGAGCUUUGAUGAAUUUCUGAAUCUUUUCAUGCAAAAAGUUGUAAAAAUGAAUCUGGUUUUAUUUUAUUUUUAGUUUCUUAGGAAAAUUAAUAUAGGGGGAUUAAGGAGAUAGCAUAGUUGUUAUACAAAAAGACUUUUGUGCCUGAAAUAGCAAAGGUCCCAAGUUCAAUCUCUAACACCACCAUAAGCCAGAGCUUAGCAGUACUCUGGGUAGACUAACUAAAUAAUAAUAUAGCAAAGGUAUAUUAAUAGAUUAAGAGUAUGUCUGUUAUCAGAAAUUGUAGAUGAGGCCAGAUGGUGACACACCUAGCUGAGAACAUGCAGUACCAUGCACAAGGACCUGGGUUCAAGCUGCUGCUCCCCACCUGUGAGGGGGAACCUUCAGGAGCAAUUAAAAGAAGAAGAAGAAGAAGAAAAUAUAGAUAAGAGAGAUAACAGCACAGGAAGGGAUAAUGCAAAGAGACUCUCAUACUUGAUACUCCAAAGUCCCAGGUUCAGUUCCCUGUACCAGAGCUGAGUGCUCUGGUGAGAGAAAGAGACAAGAUCUAGAGUUAUGAUAGUAACAUUAAAAGGACAUAUAAGAAAUGGGGUGGGAGUAGGUAGCAUAAUGGUUAUGGAAAGAGACUUUCAUACCUGAGGCUCCAAAGCCCCAUGUUCAGUCCCCCACACAUCCAUAAGCCAGAGCUGAUCAGUGCUCUGGUAUUAAAAAAAAAAAAAGUUACAAAGAAAGAAAUGUGAAAGAGGUAAGUUUUAGAGGCUGAUUGGCAGGAGGAAGAAGAGAUAAGUUAUUGGAUUACUGCAGACAAUUUAGACUGAAUGAGUGCAUUUAUAUUUAGAAUAUGUUAAUACAUUUUAUAUUCCUAUUUCAUAUUAUCAUCGGUCUACUUUAAAAAUAAUUUUUGAGCAGAUGUAACUUCCUUUGACAUUUAGGCAACAGGAAAACAUCAAAAGCAGGCCAGUUCUCUCUUUUGUUCACUUUGUAUUUUAUGGAUUGCUGGGAUCUAGUUUUUGUGAACCAGGAUUAAAAAGAUUACUUCAAACACUAUUUGGCAAAGAGAAAAGACUUCUGAGUGGUGAACACUGGUGUAUCUCUUGAAAUGGGGUUUCACCAAGUAUGGUCCACAUGAAUCUCUUCAUCCAUCUCUUUAUUGAGUACAUGUGCAUACAGCUAUGUCAAGUAGAAACAUCUUAGGGGAAUACAUAAACAUCUUCAGUGAGUAGAUAUCUGAAUAAUCUCUGUCCUAGUAUGUAAACCACUGUAAAUCAGAUUUGUUAAUCUCCAGUUGUAGGGAUUACAUCAAAUUCUAUGUUUAUUAUACAACUCCUGACCUUACCCCAAGUAUAUGGACAUAAUUCAGGGAUAUCAGAUAAGGCCUUUUUUGUUUUGCAGGGUUUUUAGCCCAUUACUUGUGUUUAUUUUGAUAUUGGCCAAACAUCCCUGGAAGCUGGAAACAGGAAUAUUAAGAGAAGACAAAGAAUUUCUGACAUGACUUGAUCUAAUUCAGUGUUCUAUAUAAUUAGAGAAAUGGGUAAUAUUCUCAUAAGUAACAUGCAUUAUAAGUCACAGGGUCCCUACCAGUGAGUUAUCUAGUUUUAUUUUUAGGUAACCUUUUCAUGAGCCCUCGUCUUUCAGGUAUUUUUGAAUCUUAGUGCAGAGGGGAAUUUCAGGACAUGUAUCAGUGUGUCCCCCUUAUCCUUCACAAUUGUAAUUUCAGACACUAUGUUGACCUUUAUGUAGGAAAAUUCACUUAAGAAUAAAGGACAGUAAGAGAGGAGGACAGAAAGUGAAAUCUGUACUGGGUAUGGUAUAUUGUACCAGAGAAAAGGACUCCAGGGAAGGAGAGAAAGGGAUAAGAUGUGAAGGGUUAUUGAUUGAGGUUCUGCUGUGUCUCCUAGUCACCAAUCAAUGGAAGAUGAAUGUCUGUGCUGUAUGUUAAAACCUAUAGUGUAAACCAUUCCCCAACAAAAUUUUAAAAAGAAAAAGGCAGAUUUGACAGUAACUAUUUCUGUCUUAAUACAGUAUCAGAAGCUCUUCUUUAAAAUGUUCAUGAAUCUUAAGGUAAGAAUACUCCUGUUCCAGUUCAAGCUCAGGACAUAAGCAGAUGGCAGCUUCAAAAACUGCAUGUAUGCCACCUGCCCACUUUUUCCAUUGAGUGCUCAAAAGUCCCGAAGGACAAUUACAUAGAUAAUUAUCAAGUGCAUGAGCAAACUCUGACCUUUAUGUAAAGCUCCCAGUUAUUUUCACCCUUUAAUAGUUACCUGCAGAAAGCAUGCUGCUGAUAUUUCCCUUUUUUUUUUCUUUCUUAUUUUAUUAUUGACUUAAUAAUGAUUGACAAGAUUAUGGGAUAAGAGGAGUACAAUUCCAUACAAUUCCCACCACCAGAGUUCUGUAUCCCAUCCUCUCCAUGGUUCCCUAUUUUUCAUCCCUCUGGGAAUGUGGAUCAAAGAUCUUUAUGGGGUGCAGAAUGUGGGAAGUCUGGCUUCUGUAGUUGCUUCUCUGCUGGACAUGGGUGUUGACUGGUCAAUCCAUACUCCCAGUCUCUCUCUACUUUUCCCUAGUGGGGUAGGGCUCUGGAGAGGUGGGGUUCCAGGACACAUUGGUCUGUCUAGGGAAGUCAGGUUGGUAUCAUGGAAGCAUCUGCAGCUUGGUGGCUGAAAAGCACUAAGUAGAACAAGUUGUUCAAUAGUCAGGAACCUUAAAGUAAGAAUAUAGUAAGUUAGAUUUGGGAUCUUUAUAUUGAAAGAACUAGGAAUUCUAUUUUAGGUAUAUUCCAAGGGGCCCAUGACUUUACAGAUUUUUGCUUGAGCCCAACAGCUAACAUGCAGGUGGGUAUUAUCUGGGAAAAUGGUGUCAGUGUUGGGAAUAGGGAAUAGAAAGCUGGAUCAAGGCAGAGAAUAGCUCUCAAAUAUGGGUAAAGUAUGUAAAUACCAUUAACUGUAAGCCCUAUCUAUCUGACCUCGGGCCCAUGUCUGUCCAUAUUUAGCACAGGAGCCUGUGUGACCUCUGAAUCCCUGUCAGUCUGGGCUCACAUCCCAUGAUCAUAGCUAGGAACAUUCUAGGCUGCAUUCAUUUCAGGACCAGUCUUCCUCAAAUGGCAGAGUAUGCUGACCCAGCCUCCCUUCAGAGAGUGGGGCAGUUUCUACCAUUGUUGUUCUACAUUGAGGACAAAGUCCUAUAGAAGCCCACUAGAGCAUUUAUGAUGUUGUUCCUGAUGUAGAUGACCAAUAAUGUUGGAGAGAGGGAUCUGUUAGAGGUCUAGGCCUAUCAUAUUGAUGUGGGAAUCCCAGGAUUCCCUGACUAGGCUCUGGGAUGAUGGGAUGGCUUGGUACUGACCAAAAGGGCAGGUCUCUUGCCCUAAUUCAGCUUUUGUAGUCCUUACUUUAUCUGACAGGGUUAGACUUAGAGUGAUUGAGGGAAGUGAAGUAGGAAGUAGAUGAGGAGACUAUCUAGGCCUAAGUAGGAAAUACUUAAGUACUUUAUGUAAUUUGGGUUUUUUUUAGGUCUUUCUACUUACUUGCUGCACUGAAUCACUGGAAAUUAUUGCGCACUUUUACUUUAAGGUAUAUAUACGCAUGUUCCCUAUCUCAUGGGCCCUGGUCUAUAUCUAAGUUCUGUAACUUUUUAGGAAGUGCACCACCUGAAAUGGAGUUAAGGAGUCCUAUGAGGUAGGGAAAGAAGCAGAAGGGUUGACAUCCCAGGCCUGGCAUCUCUGGACACAGUCUAAAUUGAAACAUGUCGAGGUGCCACUGAUUGCAAUUAUUUGGUUGAGAUCAGCAGAUGUACUAUCAAAUGGUAUGGAUUUAGGGAAGCAUGAAGGAAAAUUAACAAAGCCCCGUAGGACUGGGAGAAAUACGGGUUUUAUAAAGAAUGAGGAAGGUUCCUUGAUGUCUUAGAGUUUAAUAAGGCAAUAGAUAAUUAUUAUUAUAACCAAGUUAUUUGAGAACUUGUUUACUUUGAAAAUCCCUGGUUAGGAUUUACUGUACUAUGCAAGUGUAAUGCUAAAUGUGUGUGCUUAUGCUGGGUAAGUUGACUUUUGGAACUCUAACUCAGCUACCCCAGAGCAACUUGAGGGAAACUGCUUUAGCCACAUCCUGUUUCUGUUCUGGUAGAUGUCUCCCCAGACCACCUCACGAAACACUGUUCAUUUGAUUUUU